rnacentral:rRNA from 1 species
UACGUAGGCAGCAAGCGUUGUUCGGAGUUACUGGGCGUAAAGGGUGUGUAGGCGGUUCUUUAAGUUUGGUGUGAAAUCUCCCGGCUCAACCGGGAGGGUGCGCCGAAUACUGAGGAGCUAGAGUGCGGGAGAGGAAAGUGGAAUUCCUGGUGUAGCGGUGAAAUGCGUAGAGAUCAGGAGGAACACCCAUGGCGAAGGCAGCUCUCUGGUCGACCUCUGACGCUGAGACGCGAAAGCGUGGGGAGCGAACGGG